CGGGAAAUGCGGUGAAAUAGUAGCUGAGGGCACGACGAGACCGUUGCCGGCAGUGGGGGACAGCCUGUUGUCCGUGAGAACGUCGAUGAUCAGGAUGCACCGCUUGCCACGUGGCAGUUCCUUGGCUAAUAUUUUUCUUCAUCAUCAUCCUGCAUACGUGUCAGUAGAUCAACGGUCCGAUUUGGACCCCUCCGAGGCAUCCAAGACAGCUUGUUUU
rnacentral:lncRNA from 1 species